CAAGACGGGGCACGAAACCACCGUCAUGGUCCCCCGACCCCUUGCUUCCCCUCUCACUGUUUCUCCUCCGGCACAAUGCUGCGCACUGUCCUUCUCCUCGACGGCAGCGAUGCCAUGAACAGUAGCUCAGACUACCUGCCCAACUAUUUACUUGCUAUGAGGCCACCAUUGCUGCGGUUGGUGGAGCGGUAUCUCGACUCUACGCCACUCGCGUCUCUUGGCGUGGUAGUGAUGCGAGAUGGGAUUAGCCACCGCCUUCUGCCGUGCACGACGAACCGCAACGAGAUCGUCGACGUGCUGGAGCGCGACGUCUUCCUGCACGGCGGCUCUGGCAGCACGUCAAUGGAGAACGGGCUACGGAUGGCCAUGUCGGAGCUGGUGGACAUGCGCGAGGUAGCGGCCCUGGCGGCAGCGACGGCCAAGAAGUCAUCAUCGUUUGCCGCUCGCAACCCGCGUGCAGCGUGGAAAGGGUCCGCGACGCAGCUCAACGUCAUUGUGUUGACAGCCUCUGUCACGCUGAUUGACCCCACGGAUGUCUUCGCCGUCGUGAACAUCAUGGCCGCCUUGUCCAUCCGCAUCAGUGUCGUUUCUCUCGUCGGUGCUGUACAUGUAUUCGACGUGUGCACCGUCGAAACAGGAGGGACGCUGUAUUGUCCUCUCAACUACGACCACCUGCUGCACAUCAUGGACGAGCUGUCGACAGCCCACCGCGCGCAGGCAGCGAUGGCGCGAAAGAAGAGGCACCAGCGAGGUGGCCGCCAGCAGCGAGUCAAGCGAUGUCGCGAGGAGGAUGUUGAAGGUGUCGAAGUCAACGACGAUGACAGCGAUGGCGCGGAUGCACCGUACCUUAUACCUAUUGGAUGCCCCGUGUAUCUCGAGGCUCCAUUAUCCGACAGCGCAGAACCGUCAUCCGCUGCCUCCUCCCGCUCCUUCUACUUGGGAUGCCCUCAGUGCCACCUCAUUCAACUCACUGUCCCCACAACUUGCUCCAUGUGCCGCCUGCUGCUGUGCAGCGCGCCGAUGCUGUACAGCACGUUUGUGUUGCACAACUGUCUGGUGCCACCGGCAAAGGUGCUCCGCGUGAUGCGGGACGCAUCGCCACCAGCGUCGAAGGCUGCCAACCUGAGCGCUGCAGCAACGGCCACCGUACAGGAGGGCGGCGUCGUCAAGGCGACGAUGCAGCAGCCAAUACGGUGCGGUCUCUGCAUGACCAGCUUCAUAGCAGAGAUGAUGGGGCACACACGCAAUGGCGGAGUCAGCAGCCCCGUCGGCUCAUCAGCGAGGGAAGCCUUGGUGGUGGAUGGAGCGCAGGUGUGGCAGUGCAGCGCAUGUGCCUCGUACCGCUGCAACGCCUGCAACGACUUUGUCCUCCACACGAUCGGCCUCUGUCCGUAUUGCCUGGCGCUGCAGUGAGAGCCUGUGGAUGGCCGGGUAAGUUUCGAGUGCAAGGCAGGCAACGGCGCCAACGCGCAACGAAUCGGCCUUUUAUGCGCUGCGGAGGGAGGGGCGGGGCAAGCCAAAAAGGGAGCGAUGAGCAGAGAUGACGCCGUCUCACCCGCUUCACUGUGCAGCCCUGGCGUGUUGUUUGUCGCGCUCGCGCUCUCCCUGCCUGUCUGUGUGUGUUAACGCUGACAUCGAUAUCGCACAGG
rnacentral:misc_RNA from 1 species